rnacentral:rRNA from 1 species
UGGGGAAUAUUGGACAAUGGGCGCAAGCCUGAUCCAGCCAUGCCGCGUGAGUGAUGAAGGCCUUAGGGUUGUAAAGCUCUUUCGCCGACGAGGAUAAUGACGGUAGUCGGAGAAGAAGCCCCGGCUAACUUCGUGCCAGCAGCCGCGGUAAUACGAAGGGGGCUAGCGUUGUUCGGAAUCACUGGGCGUAAAGCGCACGUAGGCGGAUUGUUAAGUCAGGGGUGAAAGCCUGGAGCUCAACUCCAGAACUGCCCUUGAUACUGGCAAUCUCGAGUCCGGAAGAGGUAAGUGGAACUGCGAGUGUAGAGGUGAAAUUCGUAGAUAUUCGCAAGAACACCAGUGGCGAAGGCGGCUUACUGGUCCGGUACUGACGCUGAGGUGCGAAAGCGUGGGGAGCAAAACAGGAUUAGAUACCCUGGUAGUCCACGCCGUAAACGAUGGAGGCUAGCCGUUGGCGAGCAUGCUCGUCAGUGGCGCAGCUAACGCAUUAAGCCUCCCGCCUGGGGAGUACGGUCGCAAGAUUAAAACUUAAAUGAAUUGACGGGGUCAUAGCUGUUUCCU